UCGUUCCCGCUCAACAUACUUCCGGAAAUAGAAGUUGUUUGAGAAGAGCGUCAUAAAGAAAUAGAAGCAUUCGGCUAAUUUUAAAUCAGUGUACUAUCAGAGGAUUCUGAAACUGAUAUUUUAAGGGAAAAAAAUUUAUACAGUUGCUUUCAUCAAGGAAGGACCCCUAUUUUUGUUCCAAAUCGUGUUGGAGGAUUAAAUGUUUGUUGGGAUUAUUUGAUAGAAGUUCGUUUAGUAAACGAGGAAGUAUCCAACUGUAUUGGAUUUGACAGCAGCAACAUCACAAAAUCGCUCAAUAAACCCAUACCUGAAAGCAUCGAAGGCAUUCAUAAACACCUCAGAUGAAGCAAUUGUGCUAUAACUUAUUCCACCCAAUACCUUUUUCCUGGAGUUAAGUAAACCCAAGGUCAGAUGUGCCGUUGUGCUCGAUAACUGCUGAAAUGAGGUAUCAAUACGUGGACCAAAUGGAAACAGAAGAAUUCAAUCUCAGCUCUCUCUCAUGCACAGCCACCGUCAUCCAGUGCAUGUGGUCUGUCUGUCUGUCAGUAAGCUGUCUAUCACAUGCGGUCCAGGCUAUCCAGUCAGGCCUCAGGCACACACUCAAAGAAGCCUGGCUGUGCCUGAUGGAUUCCAAGUGCACGCCUCCCUCCGAAACUUUCCAUCGGCUUACACCGAGAUGCACUUCUGUCAGGAGAAAAUAAUGAGCAAUGCAAACUCGCUUGACCUCUGUGCACUGAGGAAGAUCUUCUCUGCCGACAUAUUUUGAAACCUCAUGAACUGGCCCUGCAUUAAUAUGGACAAAUUGCAAUACAACCCCUCUGAUCACAUGUCAUGUUUGUUGAGUAUUUCCACUGGUGUUGAUCUCCGAAGCCGUCGGAUAAAUAUUUCAGCAUCGCUCUUUUUCACCCAUCAUAAUAGUGAACUUAAUGCAAACCUUUGGUAGUGGGCAGCAAUCAGUCCUCGGCCAAAUGCAAUCAGACAGGUGCUUCAAAUGCAAUCAGGCUGAGAUGUUAGUCAUUAAAGUGCUAAUAAGUAUUCUUAUGUCCUGUAAGACCAGCGUAGGUAACAGUGCAGAUCUUUCUCCAGCCAUUAUAAUGCAAUCUAGACACUUUCCAUGCAAUUACUUUCAGAGGUACUGUGAAGCAUUAUUAUUUCUUAGCUGUGCAUAUGUCAAUUUUUUUCCGGCCAGGCUGAAUAUGGACACUGGCCAGCGUGCUAACGCUUCUGUACUUGGCCUUCCAUACGCUAAAUAAAUAAACAAGGUGAUGAUGAGCGCUGCAGGAGUGUGUGUGCUUCUCAUGAUGAUUCACCUAAAUAACAAGCAAAGGAAAGUGCAUUUGGCAAGCGUUUUAUAAUCAGAAAAGCAGAAAGUUACUGCAUCUCAAAGUGCACUCUAUUCCUUUGCAAGCUGCUUUGGCUUAUUGAGUUACUGCCCCCUGCUGCCCAGUGCAUACAUUGCAUAUUGUGUUAUUUGAAGUGCAGAUAUUGCACGUUAGAGCUAACCAAUUAUAUAGGCACAUUCAAAGGCCACUUACACCUCUCCAGUUUAUUACAUGGUUAGUGAAAUAAAGUGAUUUUGGAAACCAUGCAACAAGCUGUAUGUAUGCCUGAAAUCCUGCUGCAUGUCAGUACAGCUCUCUUUGUGAGAGUCAUUGCCAUUUGCUUUCCUGUCAUGGAUUUGGAGAUUUUCUAAGUGUGUGUUUCUCCAUCUCAGGUGAUGGUGGAUUAUUUGCACCCUAUGAUUAAAUGAAAAUCAGUGGUGUUUGAAGAUUUUCUUGGGUUUCUAAAGGAUGAAUGUGACCAGUCAUAACAAAUGUUGUACACCAAUAUAUAGUUGUACAUCAAUUAAUUAUAUGUCAAAAUGUCAAAAUAUUGGACGUGUACUUUUU